CAGUCUGUGUUUCCCCAUCAGACAUCACUACAUCAUUUCUAAUUUCUGCGUUACUGCCCACAGCUGCCCGGACUGUGAGGCCAGAUACCCUCCAGACGCUCCUUGCCCUGCGGGCCGGUUCGGGCAGGGCGGGGCAGGGGAGGGUUUAUCCUGCGGGGCCCUGAGCUGGCUCGGGCCACCAACACCAGCAGGGUGGCGGCCCAAGUGUGCGCUGUGCCCGUGGCAACCAUCCCGGGGAGCGACUCCGUGCGCCGCAGCCACAGCAGGACGUCACCGCUGGCUGCGAGUCUGGCGCUGAGUGACCCGUGUCACUCGUCACUUCAGCGGCUUCUUCUUUAAAGCGGUCUGGCUGGGCUGCAAAGGAGCCUUUCUCCUUCACUGUUCUUUGCGCGGCUCUGUUGAAAGGCUCAUAUUUCUGUUUUGAAAUAAGAUCCUGCUUCCUAAAAUCUGGAAAGAAUUUGACAUCUUGUUAGUAGUCUCUAAGUUUAAAUAUCUCAGCCAGAGUUCUGGCUUCGAGACGCUUCAGCUGGAGGUGCUCUUGUGUCAGCCAGGGACUUGGGGCAUCAACCACCCCUCCAGGAUGCCUGUUCUUCUAUGUGACCACCCAAGAACCUUG